AGAUUGAUGCUCAUACUGGUAAUGUUAGCGAUCUUGCUUUCUGUCACCCAAACAAACAACUAUGCGUUAUAAUUUGUGGGGAGGACAAGACUAUUAAGGUCUGGGAUGUUGCCACUGGUUCUAAGCAGUACACUUUCGAGGGUCAUCAGUUACCUGUUUAUUCUGUGUGCCCACAUACUAAGGAAAACAUUCAGUUCAUCUUUUUGACGGGUAUUGAUGGGAAGAUUAAGGCAUGGUUGUAUGAUAAUUUGGGUUCAAGAGCUGAUUAUGAUGCCCCAGGACAUUCUUGC